CCUACGGGAGACAGCAGUGGGGAAUAUUGGGCAAUGGGCGCAAGCCUGACCCAGCAACGCCGCGUGAAGGAAGAAGGCUUUCGGGUUGUAAACUUCUUUUGACAGGGAAGAGCAGAAGACGGUACCUGUCGAAUAAGCCACGGCUAACUACGUUCCAGCAGCCGCGGUAAUACGUAGGUGGCAAGCGGUGUCCGGAUUUACUGGGUGGAAAGGGCGUGUAGCCGGGCUGACAAGUCAGAUGUGAAAUCCGGGGGCUCAACCCCCGAACUGCAUUUGAAACUGUUGGUCUUGAGUAUCGGAGAGGCAGGCGGAAUUCCGAGUGUAGCGGUGAAAUGCGUAGAUAUUAGGAGGAACACCAGUGGCGAAGGCGGCCUGCUGGACGACAACUGACGGUGAGGCGCGAAAGCGUGGGGAGCAAACAGGAUUAGAUACCCGAGUAGUC
rnacentral:rRNA from 1 species